UAAUACGGAGGAUCCGAGCGUUAUCCGGAUUUAUUGGGUUUAAAGGGUGCGUAGGCGGAUUGGAAAGUCAGCGGUGAAAGUUUGCAGCUUAACUGUAAAAUUGCCAUUGAAACUGUCAGUCUUGAGUGCAAAUGAGGUAGGCGGAAUGUGUUGUGUAGCGGUGAAAUGCAUAGAUAUAACACAGAACACCAAUUGCGAAGGCAGCUUACUGGGAUGCAACUGACGCUGAGGCACGAAAGCGUGGGGAUCAAACAGGAUUAGAUACCCUGGUAGUCCACGCAGUAAACGAUGAAUACUAGCUGUAUGCGAUAUACUGUAUGCGGCACAGCGAAAGCGUUAAGUAUUCCACCUGGGGAGUACGUUCGCAAGAAUGAAACUCAAAUGAAUUGACGG
rnacentral:rRNA from 1 species